CUACCGGCGCCGAGAGGCGACGGGAUGGGCCACCAGACGUCAGCAGAGGCCAUAGUAAGUGCCGGUUCACCGCGGCACCAAGGGC
rfam:Halomonas chromatireducens strain AGD 8-3, complete genome.